UUAAAGAACACAGGUGGGACUCCUACCGAGAAGCUUAAAGAUAACAGGUGGGACUCCUACCGAGAAGCUUCAAGAUAACAGGUGGGACUCCUACCGAGAAGCUUCAAGAUAACAGGUGGGACUCCUACCGAGAAGCUUCAAGAUAACAGGUGGGACUCCUACCGAGAAGCUUCAAGAUAACAGGUGGGACUCCUACCGAGAAGCUUCAAGAUAACAGGUGGGACUCCUACCGAGAAGCUUCAAGAUAACAGGUGGGACUCCUACCGAGAAGCUUUAAGAAAAGAGCUGGAUGAUGGAAUCAAAGGGCUUUCACCACCACAGAAGAAGAAGCAGUACCAAGGGCUUGGACACAUUUCCAUACAACAUAAACUAAUGUACAUCAACAAUAAAGAAAGAUCAGGUUGUUAUUUUCUUCUUUCUCUAAAGUGAAACAAAAUGAAGCCUUCAGACGGCUCACCCCAUCAUGCACAUUA